AACGAACGCUGGCGGCAUGCCUAACACAUGCAAGUCGAACGAUCCCUUCGGGGCUAGUGGCGCACGGGUGCGUAACGGGUGGGAAACUGCACUUAGGUUCGCCCUAACUCAGAGGAUUUUAAUCUGAUACCGGUUAUUGUCUUCGGACCAAAGUUUUAUCGCCUUUGGAUGGGCCCGCGUUGGAUUAGCUAGUUGGUGGGGUAAAGGCCUACCAAGGCGACGAUCCAUAGCUGGUUAGAGAGGAGGAGCAGUCACACUGGUACGUGGACACGGCCCAGAAUCCUACGGGAGGCAGCAGUGGGGAAUAUAGGACAACGGGCGAAAGCCUGAUCCAGUAAUGCCGCGAGAGUGAUGAAGGCAGGAGGGUUGUAAAGCGCUUUUACCCGGGAUGAUAAUGACAGUACCGGGAGAAGAAGCCCCGGCUAACUACGUG
rnacentral:rRNA from 1 species